AUGGGAUGGAAAGGGUCAAGCAGAGGCAGCUCUGCCUCUUCUAGUUGUGCCAUCACCUCUGAGAUCACAGAAAUCUGGUUCCAGAACUGCCCAAAGAGUGCAGAUCCCAGAGCUCCAGCACUGCCAGCACACAGCUGUCCUAAGAUUUCCCUGUACAAAAUCAGCUUAAGGAGACUUGAGAAUUCAAACCUUCUGGUUUGCAGAGCAGUGUGGAUGAGGAGGGGGAAGCUUCUUUGUUUUCCCACUUCAUGACUACGCAGCUUUUUAUUUCCUUUUGAGCCAUGGAUGUGUAAUCAGUGACUGUCAUCAUGUGCUCCACAAAAGCUAUCACAGCACCGUUAUCCACCUUCACAACCCUCAUUUGAGAAAUCUGCAAUAACAAUUCCAGUAAUGAAAGGCAUUUGCAUACUGUUAAUGUAAGUCUAAUGCUUACAAGCUCUGCAGAAUAUUAAUCAUCUUGAUUUUCUGAGAGGUCAUAGGGAAAGUAAAUCAAGACAUGAUUUAAUUUAUGGUGAUGAGCCACUUAAAUUGCGUAUGUUUGGAGAGGGGGGAGGCAAAGAGGGAAAUCUGGGUAGGUUUGGAAGAAGCUUUGAAAUGUCCAUACAAACAUUUAAAAACAACUUAGGUAAAUACAAUUA
rnacentral:lncRNA from 1 species